rnacentral:lncRNA from 1 species
CACACACACACACAUACACAGGCAUGAGCCAUGAUGCCCAGCUUGCAAGUGGCAUUUUAAAACACGCAGAUCUGGCCGGGCAUGGUGGCUCGUGCCUGUAAUCCCAAUACUUUGGGAGGCCGAGGUAGGCAGAUUGCUUGAGUCCAGAAGUUCGAGACCAGCCUGAGUGACAUGAUGAAACCCCGCCUCCACCAAAAAUACAAAAAUUAGCUGGGCAUGAUGGCACACACGUGUAGUCCCAGCUACUCAGGAGGCUGAGGUGGGAGGAUUGCUUGAGCCCAGGAGGCGGAGCUUGCAGUGAGCUGAGAUUGUGUCACUGCACUCCAGCCUGGGUGACAGAGUGAGACUCUGUCUCAAAACAACAAUAACAACAACAACAACAACGACAAAAACAACACAGAUGGCUGGGCGUGGUGGCUCACAUCUGUAAUCCCAGCACUUUGGGAGGCCAAGGCAUGAGCCACGGCGCCCAGCUGGCUAUUGUGUU